GUCUUGGUUCAAACUUCUCAGAGGAGGAGGUGAUGAGGAUGCUGAACUUGGCCCUCUUAUGCACCAACCAAUCUCCCACUCUCAGGCCACCCAUGUCCUCUGUAGUGAGUAUGCUUGACGGCAAAAUUGCAGUCCAAGCACCAACAAUCAAGCAUGAUUCUAUGAACCCGGAUAUGAGAUUCAAAGCCUUCGAGAAGCUCUCACUGGACAGCCAGUCUCAUGUCUCAGCAUUCUCUGUAGACAGUCAGGUCCAAGGCAGCAUAUCACUUGAUGGACCAUGGAUUGAUUCCUCAAUUUCCCUCCAUAGCAGAGAAGAAACAAGGGACUUUUCUUCAUCAAGCAAGCUUCUUACAGGACACCAAGAUCUUUACAGUAUACAUUUGGACUGAUCAGUGAAAAUAUGGUAUACUAAUAAUACUUCCAAGUUGUUCUUGCUUGAAGUUUUCUGCAAGAAUGUUUUCUGAAAACUAUUUCGAAUUGAUUCUUGAAGUAGUAGACGCAUAAAUAAGUAUGUUUUGUUGUAUAAUUACAAUAUUUGUAUAAAAUUAUGAGAAUAAGUGCUCCGGUUGAGGCUUGAUGAAGAAAAAUAUUUAUAUUUCUUUAUUUUUCCAACUUACUCCCAUGACGGUAACUCAUCAUUCCCCAGAGAGAAAUCAGUAUAUAUUUAUUUUAUUUUGUUCAACUUUAUUUCCAUUUUAUCAUCAUUGGUCAUGUAUCCAAAAAAGUUGAUAAACAAAAGGGAAUAAAAGGUUUUACUCUAUUGGGCUUGAGCCCACUUGAAUUAUCAGACCAUACCAAAUCCAAAGCCCAUUUUCUAGGCUUUAGGCCCAACUGAAUUAACUGCGACCCCACCAAUUUGUCUUGGUAUGAUGUGGAAUGAGCAUCUCUACUCUAUUGGGGUUUGGGCCCACUUGAAUUGUCACAUUGUUGAAGCUAACUUUGACUCAGUCCAAUGCCAACUUGUUGAGCUGUUCGCCUACUUGAAUUGAGCGGGAGGCCCACCAAUUUUUAUUGAUUUUGAGAUUCGAAGAAAUAAUGGUGACAACUAACAUGUGAGAAGAUGAUGUUUUUGUGGUAGAAAAUCAGAAAACUCCUUAGGGUUCUUAGACAAUCAAAGACAUUCAAUGGCACUUGGAAGUUUUUGGUCAAUAAAAGAGUUAUAGGGUCAUUGAUUGGAGCCAAAAUAUGUGCUCUAAUGACACAUAUUCUAUAUGAUUUGUGCACCAAAGGACAUUCAAAUCACCCAACUUGACCUAAAUCAAUGCUAAGACCCUAGCCAUGAGUUUAAUUUGUACUUUGGAGACUUAUCUUAGGUUCAAGGGAAGAAAAUGGUGCAAGUUGAAUCACUUUAGAUUUUGAAAGAUCAAGAAAGGGUUAAAAGAGGAAAUAAAUGAGUCAAGACUCAUGGACCGUAAGAAAAGGCAAGACGAGGAUAUCAUGCAUUUGGAAGAUGAGAAAUGGCCAUUAUGGAGUAAGAAAGAAAGGCAAGAAAGCAUGGGAAAUGAGGCAUGAAGCAAGAUUCAGCUGCAUGAAAAUUUAGAACUCAAAAAUCUGAUGACAUUAUAUACUCUGACUUCGAGAACAAAUUUAGAGCACUUUAUGGAGUCCAUUGUAUACAUACUAUAUAUCGUUUUGAAGCUUGGGAAGUCAGAAAUCCAACGCUCAAACAGUGUGCAAAUCGGAGCUGAAAUGAAGAAGUUAUGGUCAUUUGAAGACAACUGCACCAAGUUAAAGGGUCAUUUCGAAAUGAUUUCGAAAUUCAACUUAUGAAUUCGAAAUCCACUUCGAAAUGACACCAAUUUUGAAUUCACCCACUACCACUUUGAUGAUCCGCCUCCUUUACCCCGGGAAUUGCAUCUAUUCAACUUAUGAAUUCGAAAUCCACUUUGAAAUGACACAAAUUUCGAAUUCACCCACUGCCACUUUGAUGUUUCACAUCCUCUACCUCGGGAAUUGCAUCUAGGGCACUCCAUCUGCCCAAAAUGGACCCCACACGACUAGAAAUCACCAUUUUAUUAUUUUUUAAUCAUUUUUAGGAAUUUAUUUUGUAAUAAGUGGCCAAUGAGAGUGUGCCACAUGUUAGGUAAUUGAUGGUAUUAUAUAAACUCUCUCAAUUCUAGGUUUUAGGGAUCUUGGAUUUCUUUUUCUGGAGAGUUUGACACUGAAGGUGGAAGAAGACGAGAACUUUGGUUUGUUUUUUUUUUCUUCUUUAUUGAAUAUAUUGUUUUUAGUUUCUUUUUAUUCAAAUUAUGGAUUUUUACCCUAUUAUGGAUUGUGAAUGUGACAUCACCCCCAUGAGAGGCUAAGAGCCAACUUGGGACUUGAAGCAUGAAAACCUAAGGGCUAGGAAACCUAUAAGGACAAUGGGUAAAUUAUUAUAACAAUGAGAUUAAUUAUUGGUUGGGUGACAAUUUAUCAUUUUUUUUUAAUCCUAUCCUUGUGAGUUCGUUUAGGUAAUGAUACGGUAGGUUAUUACUUGAUAUUAGUGAUUCUUGGUAAUUCUUGAUCAUUAGUUAUCCUCGUUUUACCUACCAUUAUUUGCCCCUAAACAAAGCUAUAAGGAGUAGGAAGGGUUAAAAAGCCAAAUCUUAAAUUGACAAUCAAUCUCAUUCAUUUGAUGGUUUUAGGAAUCUGUUUUAAAAAGGAAAAAUUAGGUUUCUGAUGCAAUUUUGAGUUAUAGAUUUCAACUUGAUCGCGAGUGGCCAAGGAUCCCAAAACCCUAAGAUCAUAUUACUUAAAAUACCCUUGUUUUCUCUAAUUUCUAUACCCUAGGUUGGAUUGUGGAAAACCCCAAACUUAAAUCAAUUGAAUUUAAAAUCAAUAUUCAUUUUUUCUUAUUAAUUUAAUUUCUUUUACUUAGUUUCACAUUAUUCACAUAUUGUUUUUCACUUAAGGAUUUAAACAAAAACAAUUCAUUUAUUCUAGUAUUGACAAUUUUCAUAAGCCAGUCCUUGAGAACGAUACCCGGAAUAUUACAAAGCCAUAGUGACUCUUUCUAUAGUUUUUCUUGACCAGAGUUAUUACGUAAAAUGACUAAUUAUUUUGGUACAAUAGAGAAUUUCGGUCAGUCAUAUAUCAAAAUUCUUUAGAGAAUUAAGUUUUGCCCUCUCACAUCUUCCUUGAAUGGUUUUGUUAGGUAACAACAGUUUGUUAUAUUUCAUUGCUUUCAAUUCAUUAAUUAACACGAGCUUUGACUCUUGAAAGUGGGUCAAUGUGUUAAGUAUUAGCUUACUUAAUAGACAUCAUACAUUGAAAUAUGAUAUUAUUGAUUGGCUCAAAUAUUUAAGUGUUUCAUUUCUUCUUAGCAACUUUGAAUGAGGAGGAGGGGUGAAAUGUUUGAAGAAUUGCAAUAGUUAAGGGUCCUUUUCUCGUAUGGGCAAGGGAUAAGAUCCCACAGACACAACCUCAGUGAAUGUUAUUUUCUAGAACAUUUUUUUAUUAUCUUUUGUAUGGGAUUAGGUGUAUAUAUCUAUAUAAUUCAUUGCAUGAAGGUAUUUUCUUGUGGGUCAGUUAGGUUGGGUGGUUAGGGUUAAUGGUUGGGCCAGAUCGGUGGGUUAUGGUAUUUGGUUGACUGGUUCCUUGGAUGACAUUGCAUUGUGAAACCAACUGAUGUUGAAAUGUCAAAGGUAAGAAAAAGAAUUAAUCAAUGAUAUGGAUGGUUCUUGACCUUAUGAUUAUAAAUUAAUCUAUAAUGUAGAUUAUUAAAUUUUCAAUAUACAAAAUUUAGAUUAAAUAGGUCUCUAAGACAAGGCAAUGCAAUGAGGCAAACCAGGGUUCAAAGCAAGUCUUUACUCACUAGCUUUUAGUCCCUAACUUCUACUGCUGAGUCUUGUAGCAAAGUCCAUGCCUUACAUAGCAUGAUCAGUUCAAAGAAGAGGUCAUAUACAAGUCAAUCUAAUCAAGUCUUCUGUCCUGGUGAUGGGUCCCUCAUCCAAUAGAAUCAGAUCGUCCCUUUGAUUUUAUUGUCCAUCAAAAGCAAAAAUUAGACAUUGUCGAGGUUCUGAGGCAAGUUCAUGGAUAUAUAGAAAAUUUUAACUCGUAGACAUUGUUGAUUAGCUCUUCUUAUCUCUAUUUCAAAUGAUGAUUUUGUGCACACAUUGCUUGUUCAUAUAUUACAAGACUCAACAUUUAGGUGCUGAUUUUUCUUCAGGGGAUACAUGGCUCUUGAAUGCUCAAAGAAGGGUUGCUUAACUGAGGAACAACAACACCAGUUGCUGGCCAAAGUAGGAAUUUGAUUAUCUUCUCCAUUGGGUAAUCUUUUGGCUUCCUUCACAUCCUUUCUGGGCAGUCUUUUUCUCUACAUUUUCAAGUUUCAUUAUCAAUGUCCUCUGUAAUUAGCAUACUCAAAGGCAAAUCUACGGUCCGAGCAACGAGCAUCAAGCAUGACACAAUCAACUCAGGUAUGAGAUUCAAAGCCUUUGAGAAGCUCUCACUGGACA
rnacentral:lncRNA from 1 species